rnacentral:rRNA from 1 species
CCGGGAGGCAGCAGCGGGGAAUAGUGGGCAAGGGGAGCAAGCCGGAUACAGCAACGCCGCGGGAAGGAAGAAGGCUUUCGGGUUGUAAACUGCUUUUCUCAGGGACGAAGAAAGUGACGGUACCUGAGGAAUAAGCCACGGCUAACUACGUGCCAGCAGCCGCGGUAAUACGUAGGUGGCAAGCGUUAUCCGGAUUUAUUGGGUGUAAAGGGCGUGUAGGCGGGAGCGCAAGUCAGAUGUGAAAACUCAGGGCUCAACCCUGAGCCUGCAUUUGAAACUGUGUUUCUUGAGUGCUGGAGAGGCAAUCGGAAUUCCGGGUGUAGCGGUGAAAUGCGUAGAGAUACGGAGGAACACCAGUGGCGAAGGCGGAUUGCUGGACAGUAACUGACGCUGAGGCGCGAAAGCGUGGGGAGCAAACAGGAUUAGAUACCCUUGUAGUC